rnacentral:rRNA from 1 species
CUGCGGAGCUAGAGUACGGCAGAGGGGAGUGGAAUUCCUGGAGUAGCGGUAAAAUGCGCAGAUAUCAGGAGGAACACCAGUGGCGAAGGGCGGCUCCUGGGCCGAGACUGACGCUCAGAGGCGAAAGCUAGGGGAGCGAACAGGAUUAGAGACCCUGGUAGUCCUAGCCCUAAACGAUGGAUGCUAGGUGUGGGGACGAGGAGUUUCCGUGCCGGAGCAAACGCGAUAAGCAUCCCGCCUGGGGACUACGGCCGCAAGGUUAAAACUCAAACGAAUUGACGGGGGCCCGCACAAGCAGCGGAGCGUGUGGUUUAAUUCGAUGCUACACGAAGAACCUUACCUGGGUUUGACAUGUAGGUGGUAGCGAGGCGAAAGCUGAGCGACCCUUCGGGGAGCCUACACAGGUGCUGCAUGGCUGUCGUCAGCUCGUGCCGUGAGGUGUCGGGUUAAGUCCCGUAACGAGCGCAACCCUUGCUCCUAGUUAUACGUGUCUAGGGGGACUGCCGGCGGGAAGCCGGAGGAAGGUGGGGAUGACGUCAAGUCAGCAUGGCCCUUAUGUCCAGGGCUACACACACGCUACAAUGGCCAGUACAAAGGGUAGCGAAGCCGCGAGGUGGAGCGAAUCUCAGCAAAGCUGGUCGUAGUUCGGAUUGCAGGCUGCAACCCGCCUGCAUGAAGCUGGAGUUGCUAGUAACCGCGCGUCAGCUAUAGUGCGGUGAAUACGUUCCCGGGCCUUGUACACACCGCCCGUCACGUCAUGGGAGUCGGUAACGCCUGAAGGCGGUAGCUUGACCUGAUAAAGGGGAGCGCUGUCGAGGGCGGGACUGGCAACUGGGACGAAGUCGUAACAAGGUAACCAAGGGCGAA